rnacentral:rRNA from 1 species
CCAGACUCCUACGGGAGGCAGCAGUGGGGGAUAUUGCACAAUGGGGGAAACCCUGAUGCAGCGACGCCGCGUGAGUGAAGAAGUAUUUCGGUAUGUAAAGCUCUAUCAGCAGGGAAGAAAAUGACAGUACCUGACCAAGAAGCCCCGGCUAACUACGUGCCAGCAGCCGCGGUAAUACGUAGGGGGCAAGCGUUAUCCGGAUUUACUGGGUGUAAAGGGAGCGUAGACGGUUAUGUAAGUCUGGAGUGAAAGCCCGGGGCCCAACCCCGGGACUGCUUUGGAAACUGUGUAACUGGAGUACAGGAGGGGCAGGCGGAAUUCCUGGUGUAGCGGUGAAAUGCGUAGAUAUUAGGAGGAACACCAGUGGCGAAGGCGGCUUACUGGACUGUAACUGACGUUGAGGCUCGAAAGCGUGGGGAGCAAACAGGAUUAGAUACCCGAGUAAUG